AUGAAUCUACGCAUGUGUUAAAACUCAUAGAACUGCUUAUCAGUUUAAUAUCUGAUACGUCCUCUAUCUGAGGACAAUAUAUUAAAUGGAUUUUUGGAGCAGGGAGAUGGAAUAGGAGCUUGCUCUGUCAACUCCACGCAUUGACCUGGUACUGCAGUACUUACAGGAACAGUGCACCCCCU